GCCUGGCCUAAUUCUGGGUAUUUUAAGGUUAAAACACAGGGACACACUCUGCCCCUCCUCUCUGCCUUUAUCAGCUCAGAAACAGAGCUCAGAGACAGUGGUGCCGGAGGAUCUGGGAGCAGACAUACCCUUUCUGUAAAUUUACCUUUCCACAUUUUCCUGCCUUUUGGAAGCCUAAAGAUAUUCUCAUCUUAGUUAUGGCUCUUCGUUAAAAACUAUUGAAACGAGACCAUGUCGAAGAGACUGAAGCUGCACCUGGGAGGGGAGGCAGAGAUGGAGGAGCGUGCGUUCGCCAACCCCUUCCCGGACUACAAGGCCGCAGCCUCCGCGGUGCUCGCCGCUGGAGCGACAGAGGAGAUGGGCUCUGCUCGCCACUCGCCCACCACGGACGAGCUCGGCCUCCCCUUUCACAGUGACGGAAAGAUCAUUCAUAAUUUCACAAGGCGGAUCCAGACCAAAAUCAAAGAUCUUCUGCAGCAGAUGGAAGAAGGGCUGAAGACAGCAGAUCCACAUGAUUGCUCUGCCUACACUGGCUGGACAGGCAUAGCCCUUCUGUACCUGCAGUUGUACCGGGUCACAUGUGACCAGACCUACCUGCUCCAGUCCCUGGAUUACGUAAAGAGAACACUUAGGAAUCUGAACGGCCGCAGGGUCACCUUCCUCUGCGGAGAUGCUGGGCCCCUUGCUGUGGGUGAUGUAUCAUAAGCUCAAAAGUGACUGUGAGUCCCAGGAAUGCAUCACAAAACUUUUGCAGCUCCAGAGGGCCAUUGUCUGCCAAGAGUCAGACCUUCCUGAUGAGCUGCUGUAUGGACGGGCAGGUUAUCUAUAUGCCUUAAUGUACCUGAACAUAGAGAUCGGGCCAGGCACCGUGUGUGAGUCAGCUAUUAAAGAGGUAGUAAAUGCUAUUAUAGAAUCGGGUAAGACUUUAUCAAGAGAAGAAAGAAAAACUGAGCGCUGCCCCCUGUUAUAUCAGUGGCACAGGAAGCAGUAUGUUGGAGCAGCUCAUGGCAUGGCUGGAAUCUACUAUAUGUUAAUGCAGCCAGCAGCAAAAGUGGAUCAUGAAACCUUGACAGAAAUGGUGAAACCAGUAUUGAUUAUGUGCGCCACAAAAAAUUCCGAUCUGGGAAUUAUCCGUCAUCAUUAAGCAAUGAAACCGAUUGCUUGGUCCACUGGUGCCAUGGUGCCCCAGGUGUGGUCCACAUGCUGAUGCAGGCGUAUAAGGUUUUUAGGGAGGAGAAAUACUUGAAAGAGGCCAUGGAGUGCAGUGACGUGAUUUGGCAGCGCGGUUUGCUGCAGAAGGGCUAUGGGAUCUGCCACGGGACUGCUGGUAACGGCUACUCCUUCCUGUCCCUUUACCAACUCACGCAGGAUAAGAAGUACCUCUACAGAGCUUGCAAGUUUGCAGAGUGGUGUCUAGAUUAUGGAGCACAUGGGUGCCGCAUUCCUGACAGACCCUACUCCCUCUUUGAAGGCAUGGCUGGCACCAUUCACUUUCUCUCCGACAUCCUGAGACCAGAGACAGCACAGUUUCCAGCGUUUGAACUUGGCUCUUCAAAGAGGGAUUAAAAGGUGCAAAGAGACAACUAAAAUACCUGUUUGGACCAAAAGCCAUCAGAUUGCUUAGUGCCUGACACAGAAACAACUGUGAACCCUGAAAGAGA